AUUAUUUUAAGGUCCUAAUAACAUUACUAUAUUAAAACAUAAGCUAAACUAAAGAUAGGUUAGGCGUAGCUCACUUACAGCAGGUUUUUCUCAAAAACGGGCUUCGCUGGAGCAGCGUUUCCUAGCCGAAAGGCUCUUUUCUCANGCCGAAAGUCUCUUUUCUUAGGACUCCAGGAGCCUUGGGGCUUCCUUCGGGUGCUAGGGGGUUUACCUAGGCAUUUAGGGGGGUUAGGGAGCUUAGAGAGAGAGUAUAGAGAGAGAAAGAAGAGGGUUGAGGGGUGAGGAAAUUAGGGAACCCGGCACCUCUAUUUAUAGGGGUGCUGACUGACCUACUCGUCGAGUAGGAGGACCUACUUGCCGAGUUGGUGCAUGUGGCAACCUUCUGGUGGUGCCACGUGUCCAAUUCUGGUGGUGCCACGUCACCCCCUAUCGCGUAUCAGCCUUCAAACUUAGAAAAAUCAUAACUCUCGCAUACGAGCUCUGUUUUAGACGUUAUUUUUUUAACGCGUAGGUAAAAUCAAGAUCUACAACUUUCAUUUAGACUCCGUCGGCCAAUUCUCGACCGAUCUCAAAUUUAACAGUAGGAGACGUUUAGACUGUUAAAUGACCGCGAAGAAUUCGUAACUCCUUCAUACGGACUCCGUUUGUGUCUAUAUUUUUACAGUUGAGUUCCUAUUAAUGAGAUCUUCAACGCUCAUUUAGGUCGCGUAAGCCAAAAACCGCUCGAACUAAAAUUCGAGUUUCGGGUCGUGCACUACUAAGUCGAAUCUUAGAAAAAUCAUAACUUCCUCAUACGAAGUCAGAUUUGGGCGUUCUUUUUUUUUUUGUAUGUUCUCGGUUUAACAUAUACUACAAAUUUUGUUUAGAUUGAUAAGGCUAAGAGUCGUGCCAUCUUAAAUUUACUAUUUACGCUUCCCGGUGUCGUGCCGGUUUUGCCGUAAAACUUCGACGAGCCAUAACUUCUUCGUUAUAACUCGGAUUUCGGCGUUCUUUAUAUGUACGGAAACCUUGAGAAAUAUCUACAACUUGGUUAAGACUAUUUAUUAUAAAUAAUCUUUUUCCGAAAAGUCAUUUUCGACACUUAUUGCCUCUAAAUUGACUAGCCCGGAUCUACGGGCGUUACAGUUAUAUCCCCCUUAGGAUGAUUACGUCCCGAAAUCAUCAAAGAAACAAGAUUGUAUAAUGACUCCAUACGUUAUCUAUUCAUCCUAUGUAAUAACUGUAACUUCUAUGUUGCUUCGAACGAGUAUGUAACUCUUGGACUCCUUGACUGCAGGCGGUGCUCGGUCUUGCACCUGCUCUUUAGACUUUCAAUCAUGACCUUCAUGUCACAACCUUAUUCUUUAUCAAAGACUCCUUCUUAUUCUUAACAAACUUAGAAUAAGUUAAUUUGAUUACUAACAAUUGACCAAUGUGUCAUAUUCUAAUGACCUAUCAUCGUAUGUAGCAACGCUUAGACUCAGAUCUCUUCGAGUCAAAUUCCGGAAUGGAUUAUGCCUUCCUUCAUGGUCUAAUGUGAUAUAAUAACAUUUUAACAUGUAUCUUUUCUAGCUACCAACUUCUUUAACAACGAGUGUGAUACUUCUAUUGACCGCUUUGAUUUUAAUCAUUUGGUUUCAGUCGGACGCUACAUCAAACUUGGUUCUCUGAACCACGUAACCUACUCAUCGUAGUCGGACUCAAUGUGACAUGACCACCACUAGGGUCGGAAUAACAAUCGUCUUCUUAGUCAUUUACCAAAACGAUGGUAACGACAUUCUUGAANAAUUACUAGCUUCUUGGUAACCUUGUGACUUUCCCUGAUCCAAGUGUGAGUCCUGUGCUUCCGGUAGUAUAGGCCUCUACUACCAUUCACACCUACUCAUACUCGUUCCAAGUAUUGUCUCGCAGUUCUCCAAGUUAUUAUCACAAAAACAAUUUUAACACAUACAAAUGUGUCCAAACAAUCAUAUAAUUUUGUCUAGAAUCUACUAGGACUUCUUCCACGCGUAUCUUCAAUCAUCAAUUCUGCUUCAACUCGGUUUAUGGUGGAAAUGUUGUUGGAUUAGUGUCUAAGUCCAUAACAAUUUUUGUAUGUACUUGACCCGAUGGUGCAUGGUCCUUUUGGGUUGCCUUCACCAAAGCAACUUGAUAGGAUGAAUUAUGGAGAAAGAGAGAGAGAGAGGAUUAAUUAUGAUUUAUUAAGAUAUUAUGAGAAUAAUAUAUUAAAGGAGAAAUCAUAUUGUUUAAGUAAUAUUAGUCAAUAAUUAAUUAAGACUUAAUUUUGUGGCUAAAAGACAUUAAUUAAACUUAAGGGACUAGAACUUUCAAUUGUAUGAUAGUUGAAUAUUGGGUUAAUGGACUCCAUAUUAGAGGGGUGGACGAAUUCUAUGGGGAAACCCAUUAGAAAUCGUCAUAGGCCUCUAAGGAGGGAGUCCAUGGGUUGCUUAGGGCCUAAGCAUCCAAAUUAGGGUUUCCUUGUUAGAUAACCCUAAUAGCCUCACUAUUUAAAGGACCCUUGAGACUCAAAAACGUGGUGAACUUAUUCCUUAGGGUUUCCACACGUUUUGGGCAGCCUCCUCUCUCCUUAUUCUUCAUCCUCUUGCUCUUGGUGUUUGUGAACCAUUAGAGGAGUGACAUUUGUGACUCUAAGCUUUCUAAAGUCAUUACAAGGAGGAUUUGAGAUUGUUAUUGCUACAUAACAAUCAAGGUAAGAUCUAAAACCCUUUCACAUGUUAAUAUGAUUAAUUGUAUGCUAGAACUAGGGUUUAAAGUCUUGGAUGAAUUGCAUGUACAAUAGAGAAACCUAGAUCCAAGCAUUAGGGUUUGUAUGAGCACAUAGGAUGUUCUUAUGGCCAAAACCCAUCAGUGGUAUCAGAGCCUAGAUUGGUUUCUAUUGUAUUGAUGCUUUGUAUGUUGAAAAAAUUCGUUUUUUGUGGUUCUGCUUGCUGAACUCGCCGAGUCUCUAGAUGAACUCGCCGAGUCCAUGCUGACUCGACGAGUCCAUGCCUGACUCGACGAGUCGGCUGGUCAGAAUGAGGGAAAACCGGGAUUUCUUGCUGUUUUUGCUUGAGGAUACUUGCCUUAUCAUAUUAGAUCAAUAUAAAUCCGAUUUUUUGAUAUAUAUGACUAUAUUCUUGAUCUAAUUGAAGAUAUUUAUCAAUUAAUAAAAUAUUUGUUUCCUUAUGUGAUAAUUGAUUAAUUAUUUUGAUUAAAUUGGUAAAUUGUUUUGCAAGAAAUCAUUAAAUAAAUCAAAUAUGGAUAAUUAUGUGAUUAAAUGUUAAUUUAGAUUAUUUGUUAUUUGAUCCUUGUGUUAUGAAAAGUUUCAUAUUUUCCCCUUUAGGUUUUAUAGUUUAAAUUUGAACUCAAAAGUUUUGUUGUUUUGAAAUUUAAAUAGUUGAAACCCUAAUGUUUUGAAAAGUUUUCAAAACUUGCCCUCAAGUUUUGGAAUUUAAAUUUUGAUUAAAAGUUUAAUUUUGAUGUAUAUUUAAAUUCUAAACCCUAAUGUUUUGAAAUGUUUCAAAACUUGCCCUCAAGUUUUGGAAUUUAAAAGUUGAUUAAAAGUUUAAUUAGGAAUGUUAAAUUCUAAAACCCUAGUAUUGUUUUGAAAAAGUUCAAAUCACACCCUUAUGGUUUUAUUAAUUAAUUAAGGUGUAUAAUUAAAAGAGGUUUAAUAAAUCCAUAAAAGUUUUGGUUUACAAUUUAAUUGAAUUAAAAGUAUAAUUGUUAAAUUUGACCACCUAGUAUUUUAAAAGUGUAAAAUACACCCUAUACUAUAUAUAACAUUAAAAGUCUAACAUUAUAUAUAUGUAUGAGUAAAAGUCAGUCUUACCGUUAGUAGGCCUCAUUCACGAAGCUGGUCUAUAAGGGGUGUUUAAGGAAAUUGCCUAUAAAAUGGCGAUUGAAUGGGUAUCCACUCUUACCCACCGCACUCUUGACUAGUGGAGGGUCGUUAGCCGAACGGGUAGGAUAGGACGAAACCUUCCAUUAUAAGUAUAAUGAAUUAUUAAAGUAACUAAAUGUUUUCAUAAAAUUCCCAAUCUUAGUUACUUAGGCAAAAGUGAAUUGAUGCAAUUCCAUGAAAUUACACUUUGUGCCCUUGCGAAGACGUUAGUGGAGCGUGUGUGGUUUACCGGCACACUAAAUGGUUCUAAGCAAAGGUAGCAAAGGGUGACUCAAUGUUUGUCAUAGUUCGGUGGAGCGUGUGUGGUUUACCGGCACAUCGAAUAGGUGACUGUAACAUGUGAGGGCACCAUGUAAGUUUGCAUGGUUAUUCACACCCGCUUUGUGAUCCUCGGCAUCCCAGUCACAAACAAGAGGGGCAUAUCGAGAUUUAAACAUGCCAUUGAAAGUUCAAUGAAUCUCAAAGGAUCUAGGAGUUUUCAUAGAUUUAAAACUUAAAUUUCUUUUUCGUUUUUCAUGGUGGAAAUUAGUGAAUCGUCAUUCACUUACCUUCAAAUAUUCUGCAAUUAGGGUUACGGCAUCCCUCUCCCGAGUUGUAGAAUAUUGUGUUGGGUCCUAGCCUUAGUAUCUCAUUUGGGUGAUUUACUAAGGACUCAAUCAAUCAACUAACUUGAAUUCGUUUUCUCCCGUUUUGUAGAUGUCAAAGUUCGACAACUAUGGUCUUCCCAAAUCCCGUGGAACAAGCAUUCCACAUGAAGAUGAUAUUCCACGAUUCGAUCGAGGAACAAGAAAUCAUGCUUCACUUCCUCCUCCUCCUCCAAUUAUUCUCCCUAACCCACAAGUUCAAAGGCUUGAAAAGUUCAAGAUCACUCAAGCCCUUUUGGCAAGUAAACAUAAAGAAGGAAAGUCGGUGUGUGCACACGUCCUAGGGAUGAAGUCACACAUUGAUAGGUUAAGAAUGUUGGGAUCCGUUGUCUGUGAGGAAAUGGCUGUUGAUUGGGUUCUUCAGUCACUUCCUAACUCAUAUAGUGAGUUCGUAAGAGAGUACUAUAUGAUGAACCGCGACGUGACCCUUAUAGAUCUCACCUAUAUGCUUAUUGCUGCUGAAUCAGCAAUGGUUUGGCGCAAUAGAAAAGCAAAGUUGAUUGGUGAAUCUGCCUUCAAGACCUCUAUGGAUAUAGACAAUGGCAACGAAAGACAUGCUAUGAUCGAAAAGUUUGAUCAUAAGAGAAAGGCAAUGUCUGAAGUAGUUCCAUGUCAUGUUCCAAAAGAGUCAAUUUGCUUUUAUUGCCAAGAGAAAGGGCAUUGGAGACGAAGCUGCCCCAUUUACCUAAGAGAUCUAAGAGAUGGGAGAGUCGAAACGUAUGGCUCUAAUAUAGGUAAAAUCCAUUAACUAACUCUUUUAAGCUUCUAUUCUAGAUUCUUAAUACAUAAUGUGAUAAGAUUACAAUUGAUGUUUUGUAGGAUCGAAGAAAAGAAAGGAAGCUUAAGGGAAGAAGUGAGCAGAAUCUAACCGUGAAGGAAUGGAUUUCGAUCGCAUUUCUCGAAGAUUAGAUUCUUGAGCUACUACUUAGAGUUAGAAUUAGAUUGCUAAGAAAGAUGUAUUAGCAUAGUUUUUCAAUGAAUUGCAUUGUAAGGACAAAUUUUUCCCCAAUAAAAUAAAUUUUGAUUUUAUAUUAUUUAUUUAUCCUUGCAAUGGCGUAUAUGAAAAAUUGAUGUUUGAAUGUUUCUAUUAUUAGCAAUAAUGGAUUUGGUUCUUAUUAUGUUAUUUAUGGAAAGUCGAGAAUUUACCAAAUAGGGAGAGUUUCUCAUCGCCCAAGUUUCAAUUGGACAGAAACUUGGAAUCAUGCAACUUGGUUGCACGAUGAAUGAGAAAUUUCAUAUUUGGAAAUUAGACUAAUUCAUUGACAAAGUGUCAAGUGAAGGACUAGGAGAUCGAGUACACAAAGUUGCGUGUUGAUCAAGUCCACCAUAAGAGUAACAAAGAUAUUCGUCAUGAUUUACUAAAGGUUUAGUAAAUAUGAUUAUACUUACAAGAUUAAGUGUAAUUCUGAAUUGAUUGAAAAAGUUUAAAUCAAUAGCAGAACGAAUAAGAAGAAUCAAGUAGGCAGAAAGAUAAAAGUUUCUCCAUUCUAAGAAGAAGGGAGAGUACCUUUUAUGCUUUAUGAUAGGUCUUAAUGAUUAAGAACCAUAUCUCAAUUGAUCCUCUAAGUGAGUCUUAGUACAAUUGUAUGUCUAAGAAGAGGAAUCAAGAAUUGAAGAAAUGGUUAAAUCAAGAAGUCAAUCAUACUUCGUUCCAAAACAAGUCUUAGAGUUAAGAUUGUGACAUUGAGUGACAAGUCUUAAGAAGGUUUAUAACAUUCAUCAAAUGUGGAAUUUGAAAAGGUUUUCUUAUUCUUGCACAUUUGAAAUUGGAAAGUUGUGAUGUCUUGGAUAAGACAAAGACCAACUAGGACCAAUUUAUGAAGUGUUUCGUCUUGAUAAAAGCUACACUAACUCUUGAAUAUUUGUUUGUCAAGAAAUGUUUAUUGACAAGAGAAUCUUAUAUGUCAAGGAGUCAGUGGGAGUCUUAAUGGUCUUGAAAGGUUUCAAGAACAAAUCAAAAUAAACCUUAUCGAUCAUCACUAGCACACGACUUGAGGUUUACAACCUAUCGUGUUGACACUAUCUUGUUUCUAUGCGGUUCCAAUUGAGCUAAUUAUGCAUGUGAGUCCUAUGAGUUCUCAUUUGAAUGCAUAAAAGGCAAGGACCUUGAUCAAUGAAAAGUAUAUUGAUAGGAAAGGGUGAGCUGCUUAACUACUUGGAAGACAUGGUGGACACUCGUGUUACCAUAAGGCAAGAAAUCAAGAUUGAGNAAGGUUCGGUCCAUAUGAAUUUGGAUUUGUCGCAACUUUGGUUUAACGAAUUUGCAUGGAUAUGAACACAUACACCAUUAAAAUCUAAGUGUCAUAAGAUUGCCUCCUUCAUGAAUAUGACUGUGAGGAAAUGCUUUCACUAAGAGAGAUUUUAAGAAGAUAGUGAUUGUGAAAUUGUAUUCUUGAAUUUGAUUAUGGUUACGGUAUCCCUUUUCAUAAUUAGAAAUGUGAGAUUUGACAAAUAGUUUGAAUUGUUUAAGACACACAUAUGAGCUAUCUAAGGCAAAGGUGUAUAAGUUUGAGAAACUCAGAUAAAGGAUUAUCAUGUCAGAGCUAGUGGGAGCAUAAGAGUUAUGCUUAAGUGAUAAUAAUCAUCAUAGUGGGAUAAAUGUUGUGCGUGUAUGAUUAUUAUGGCAAGUAUUGCAAGUUAGCAAUAUUAAUUAUAGAAAACAAGAGUUAUACUUUGCAAAGUCGUAAGGGUUGAAAAGUUGUUUUGCUAUAAUUAAGGGAGAGAAUAUUAUGCUUCAUUUCAAAUCUAAAGGCUUAGGUUGUGGAAUGUUAAUAAAUUUAGUCAAGGAUACAUAGUGUGUUCUCAAAUUUCGAUUAUGAUUAUGGCAUAGUUCGAAUUGUGAGAACGUGGCACAUAAAAUAUUAUGACAGAAGAUUGAUAAAGUAUCAGAUCUUUAUGUAAGACAUUAUGCAUCGUGUCCCAUACGCUUCGGGUAUAGGAUUGAUUGCAAAUGCUAUAAUAUUUAACCAUUCUAAAAUUUUCCAAAUGUCUAGCGCAUUUAGAGGGAAAAAGGACAAGAAUCGGUUUUGACUAAGAUAAUUAAACAACUAUCAAAGGACGAUCCAAAGCUCGCUGAGGAUUGGUCGCUUGUGAGUAGUUGGAAGUAUAAUAUUGGAUGGACCAUAUCGACAUUAUUAUGAAUAGAUAAGAUUCUAUUAAGAAUGAGUUGUCAUAUGGAAAAUAUGGAAACGUGUCCAUAUUGGGAAUUGAAUAUUGAAAAUCUAUGUCUAGAUUAGAAACUUUUAUGCAAAAGGAUGUUCAAAGGAAUGUACUUUGAGUGAGAGACAUCAUAUCUAAGGAAUUGUCUUGUAACAAUCUCCGAUAGAGGACUUUGUAAUUUCAUUGGCAAUAGUCAUUGUGACUUUUGUGCUAUGACAUUACGAAAGGAUCAUUGCAUAAAAUGUUAGAAUCUAGCAUAUUCUAUAAGUGGCAAGAAUUUGAUAUUCUUUCACUUGUGAAAAGGAUUGGGAGUUGUGAAAUGAGUAUGAUUGGAAAUGUGUUCAUUUGAUCUAUUUCACAAAGUAAGAACCAUAGGUAAACAUUGUGUGCAUGCUAAGAGCAUGGGACAAAUGUAGUAAUAAUUCAAUUAAGAAGUUGAUUACCCGAAACAACAAAUAAUGAGUAAUCGAUAUGGUGAUAAAUAAAAGGUGUUUUAUUUAUACUCAAAGGUUUGAGGCCAUAUGGGAUUAGUAUUAUUCUUGUGUUUCACUUUGCAUGUUUUGACUUCCUGAAUAAUUUAAUUGGUUUAGAACAGUCAAAUUAUUCGAACGGGCCACAGUCGUUCAUAUGUUGGAAGUAGAUAUGAAUGAAGACUGUCGUGAAUUGGUGUGUGGAUUGUCUAAAGAGUAUUAGACAUAAGCAAAUGUUUGCUGCAACGUUCAUGAGUGCUUAUGAAUAUGAUUUGAGCAUUGGAUUAAACCCACGCUCACUUGGAUCACUCCAUGAAUUGUAUCACGAGUGAUUGGUGAGACGAUAACAUCUUAUAUUCUUGAAACCGAGAUGUGUGAGUUGUAUCUUGCGAGUCGGUUGCACAUUGAUAAUAUGUAAACGCACCAGUAACUUGGUGUUAUAAAACAUAUUGUUGUGUGUGAUUCGGUAAGUGAGUGCAAGCGAGCAUUGAGAAAAAUUUAAUCCAUUCCUUUUAUCCAAAGUAGGAUCAAAGCGAUAUCUUUGGGCCCCUCGAUGAUUUAGUGAUGGCACCUAAGCGCUUGGCCAAGUCGGGACUAAUUUGAUGUGUUCAAUUGUCGUCUGUUUUUAGUCGUCAUAAAUCAGAAGUCGAGAAAUAGUAUAGAGAGAAUGAUUAAGUUCAUGUCUCAUAUCUAUACGAUAUCUAGAAUGGAGGAAUAUAUGAUCCCUUAUCUAAAGGACACGCGUAUCUGAUAAGAUCAGAGUUGACAGCGGCUUUGGAAAGCUACGAUUGCAGAUCAGGAUCUGAAGUCAUACGCAGAAUAGUUAUUAGACUUAUCCAAGUGGGAGACUGUUGGAUUAGUGUCUAAGUCCAUAACUAUUUUGGUAUGUACUUGACCCGAUGGUGCAUGGUCCUUUUGGGUUGCCUUCACCAAAGCAACUUGAUAGGAUGAAUUAUGGAGAGAAAGGAUUAAUUAUGAUUUAUUAAUAUAUUAUGAGAAUAAUAUAUUAAAGGAGAAAUCAUAUUGUUUAAUUAAUAUUAGUCAAGAAUUAAUAAGAAUUAAGUUUGUGGCUGAAAGACAUUAAUUAAACUUAAGGGACUAGAACUGUCAGUUGUGUGAUAGUUGAAUAUUGGGCUAAUGGACUCCAUAUUAGAGGGGUCGACGAAUUCUAUAGGGAAACCCAUUAAAAAUCGUCCUAGGCCUCUAAGGAGCUGAUAGUUGAAUAUUGGGCUAAUGGACUCCAUAUUAGAGGGGUCGACGAAUUCUAUAGGGAAACCCAUUAAAAAUCGUCCUAGGCCUCUAAGGAGCGAGUCCAUAGGUUGCUUAGGGCCUAAGCAUCCAAAUUAGGGUUUCCUUGUUAGAUAACCCUAAUAGCCUCACUAUUUAAAGGACCCUUGAGACUCAAAAACGUGGUGAACUUGUUCUUUAGGGUUUCCACACGUUUUGGGUAGCCUCCUCUCUCCUUAUUCUUCAUCCUCUUGCUCUUGGUGUUUGUGAACCAUUAGAGGAGUGACAUUUGUGACUCUAAGUUAUCUAAAGUCAUUACAAGGAGGAUUUGAGAUUGUUAUUGCUACAUAACAAUCAAGGUAAGAUCUAAUACCCUUUCACAUGUUAAUAUGAUUAAUUGUAUGCUAUAACUAGGUUUUAAAGUCUUGGAUGAAUUGCAUGUACAAUAGAGAAACCUAGAUCCAAGCAUUAGGGUUUGCAUGAGCACAUAGGAUGUUCUUAUGGCAAAAACCCAUCAAAUGUCAGACGAUGGGAUAACUUCAUGGAUUCUACCAAAAGUCUUUCUUUCUUCUAGUCGAAAGUGAACUACUUCCGUACUAGACGUAUUAUUUAUUAGACGCAUUCUAAAGUCAAGAUAUCACUCUUAAAAUAUCUUCCGAUAAGUAUCAUUCACUAUCAUAAGCCUUCUCGUUUCCUCCAUUUGCUCAGUCUGCUAUGAGUCCUUAUCAUGACAUUCUAUACACGAAAGCAGGCGUUCGGUGUAUCGAGACAAGAAUAUAGAUAGAGGAAGAUUUAGACGCAUAUUCCUCCGUAUUACUCAAAAAAGUUACAUGCCAGUUCUAAUAUCGUAAUUAAACGUUUAGAAACCUGAGCACAUAAAAUUUCCAGAUCCGAUCGGCAACAGACCAUAGAUCCGAUUAUAAAUUUAGUAUCAUAAAGCAUCAUACAUAUUUUAGCACAUAAAAACAUGUUAGGCAUUUUCCCUAAAUAAGCUAGUGCUUGUGUUUAUUCAGGUGUAUUACCUAAGACACUCCUCACAAUCAUUGCUUAGCAUUCUAAGUUUAAGUCUAGAAAUAAAUCCAUAUUCCUAGUUCGCUUAAACUAAUGCUCUGACACCAACUGUAACAUCCCCAUUUUUCACGGCCAGAAAAAACCGAUUUUGUUUAUGCUUUGUAAAAAUCAGAGUACUUCUUUUCAUAAAAAUGUUGCGGAAUUUAUUCCCAGAAAAACACGAUAAAUACGUUAUCAAAACAUUUUCGAAGAAACGUAUUUUAUUCAUUUUAAAACGUUUGGGAUGUCAUCGUCAAUACAGAAACAUAAGCAUAAACGGAACUUACAUUUAUUUACACUACUGAUCUACAUCUCUUUAAUCUCUCAGUGUAAUGUGACUUCAUAUCAACACCUAUGAUAUAAAUAAACUGAGUGGGUCAGAUUGGGAAACCUAGUGAGUACAUAGGGUUUUCAACCCAUAAUAAUAUAAUUAUUAUGUUUAAUCAUCAAUCAGUUAAACCAAUUACCCAUCCCCAUUAUCUUCUUUGCUCUUAAGGAUCUAUCCUAAGAAUCAACUAUUCCUCAUUUAUUUAUUCCUAAGGAUCGUCCUAAGGAAUUAGCACGAAGUCCAUCGUUACCAAGGCUUAUAGAUUACAACUGGUGAACACGUAGUCCAAAACAUCUGGUAAACAAAAAGUAACUAGUGAACACACUUAGUUCAAAAUACCUAGUGAACACACUUAGUCCAAAAAUACCUAGUGAACACACUCAGUUCAAAAUACCUAGUGAACACACUUAGUCCAAAAAUACCUAGUGAACACACUCAGUUCAAAAUACCUAGUGAACACACUCAGUUCAAAAAUACCUAGUGAACACACUUAGUUCGAAAAUACCUAGUGAACACACUCAGUUCAAAAAUACCUAAUGAGCACCUAGUUCAAAAACACCUACAUGUUACGAGCCUGCUAGCAUUCCACUAAACUGUCUAGUAUCGUCCAUGGUCGUCAUCUAUACUCCACUAGAUGACUGGAUCACUAUCAACAUUGAUGUCUUCCAUCGUAUUAUCACACAACAACUAUUUCAUCUACCCAUGUUUUACCCAACACAUUUUGUAGAUAUAAAAUACAUAUACAGUUUAAAUCAUUUAAAACAUGUAUAAAAAUCUUUCACCCAGCAUAGGAAACAAGUAUCCAGACAAUAUGCACACAUAGCACGUAAUUUAUAUUAAAAUUCUUCAUAUCUAUGUGUAAGAUGAAAGGGACUAUGCAUUCACUUGGUAAGGUGGUGACUCGGUGCUUGGACAGCACUUCGUUACUCUUAACACACUUUUCCUUCGGCAAAACCUAGUAUCAUUGCCACUAGGGUUUAGUCUGAUAUUCACCGCGACUAAUUAUGUAGCACAUGGUUCUUGGUACGUGUUCUUUCUAUUAAAUCUUUAAAUAUUUUGCUUUUGGUCUUGGACUCAGCGAGUUGAAGGACCAACUCGCCGAGUAGAAGCGGGAUGAGGCGCGGAGUUUAAGUUGUGGACUCGGCUAGUCGAGUCUCGGACUCGGCGAGUAGACCUUGUUUGGGCAAAAGCCCUAAUCUGAGGGUUUGCACCCUAUUUAAACACCUUAACUCGGCCUCCUUAGUCUCAUUUGCUCCCAGAAGACCCCCAUAGCAAACCCUAGCCGUAAUUGAAGCAAUCCAAGGCAUUUGGAGUGAUUUUGGUGCUUUUGUGAUCCAAGGAAGGAAGGAAAAGCUUGAAGGAUCAAGAGGAGGCUAGAAGGAUUCGGUUUUGAGCACCAUUUGCAGACUUCAGAAGGUAUAAAGUCUAUACCUUGCUUGCUCUUUUGAUAGAUCCCAUUUUGUGGAGUUUUAGGGAUUUUCUAAGCCAUUUUGGUCACCAACCAUGAUUGCAAGCAUGGUUUGAGGUUGAUGUUUCGGAUCUAGGUCCUUAGAGGGGUUACAAGGCAGAAAGGAGUGGCUUUUGCACUCAAGGAAGGCCCCAUGCAUUGUGAGAGCUUGUUUUAGGACCUUUUGAGCUUAAAGUCCCAUGCAAGCACGUAAAGGUUGUAACUUUACGUGCUAGAUCGAUUGUAGAAGCAUAGAUCUACAUUUUGAUCAAGGGUUGUACAUCAGAAAUCGAAGAUUCAGUGAGUGGUUGUGCCCAACUCGGCGAGUCCGUUCUUGGACUCAGCGAGUCCAGGGUUUUGUCCCAUAUCAGCUGAGGGUCAUAAGGACCCAGUUGAGUGUGGAAAGGUUUUAAGGGGGUCCCAAGAGGUGACCCAACGUUCUGGACUAAGCCAUUGUUCUGGAAGUUCAUAGGACUCAGCGAGUGCAUGAGUGGACUCGGUGAGUCCAAGGCAAUCUUCUUAGAACUCGAUGAGUUGUUCAUCAACUCGACGAGUCGAGGACAAAACUUGUUCAUCAGAUGAAGGUGGAUUCGACGAGUUGUUCAUCAACUCGGCGAGUCGGAUGAGUUUCCAUGUGUCUUUCAUAUGAAAGAAGAACUCGUCGAGUUGGCGGCCCAACUCGACGAGUAGAAGAGGGUUUAAGGACAAUUGGAAGGAUAGGGACUCGGCGAGUCAGGUCAACUGGAAGNGGAAGUUGACUUCAUCUUUGACUUGACUUGGUAAGGGGUAAAAUGGUCAUUUUACCCCAAGAGUAGAUGUCAGUUUCUGACUAAGUGUUUUGUGGGAAUUUUAGCCGGAGGAUUUUCGGAGCAACAGCAGCAGUCAGAGGAUUCCCACACAAUUCAACAGCUACUACGAGAUGAGUUACCUUCCAGUAGCGGUGGGUCUACGGCCACAUUUCUAACCCACCAGUAGGGAUCGUAUGUUAGAUGUUUGUCUUUGUGAUAUUCAUCUGUGUUGCUACUACCUGAUAUGUUAUGUGCUAGCGUGAUACGCUAUGUGAUACUGAUAGAGUUCGGUUGUUAGGAUCGAAGGGUAGGUUAGGCACCCCAGAUAUGCCUAACAGUAUGUCAUGAUAUGUUUAGCUGCUAGCAUGAUAUGUUAUAUGAGAUAGAGGUAGUAGGAGGGGGAAAGUCCCCGAGAUUCGGUUGUUAGGACUGAAGGGUAGGUCAGACACCCCAGAUAUGUCUGACAAUAGAUUAUGAUAUGACAUAUGUGAUAGUAGUAGUAGGGGUGAAAUAGUCCCCGAGGUUCGGUUGUUAGGACCGAUGGGUAGUCAGCACCCCAGAAUAGCUUGACAUGGGUAGGUCAACGCCCCAGAAUGGCUUGACACGGGUAGGACGGCACCCCAGAAUGGCCGCAUGGGUAGGUUGGCACCCCAGAAUGGCCGUACGGGUAGGUCGACACCCCAGAAUGGCCGUACCGAGUAGGUCGGGCACCCCAGAAUGCCUGGCAGUAUGUAUGUGAUGUGAUUGUAUGGUACGUGGUACGAUGGGGGAACUCACUAAGCUUCGUGCUUACAGUUUUCAGUUUUGGUUUCAGGUACCUCUUCGGCGAAGGGGAAGGAGCCGGCGCGGUAAUGGCACAUCAUACACACACAUAUUGAUUUUCCGCAUUACGAGAUGUUCUGGGAUUGUACUCUGCCAUUAUUAUUAUUUUCAUGUUUUGGGAUUUUGGACACGAGAUAUGUUUUAUGAAAUGAUAUGAUCGGAUGAUGUUUUACUACAAAUGUUUUACAAACCACUUAAUUUAAAUGAAAUUUUUGGGNUAGUCUAAUAUUCACCGAGACUAAUUAAUAAUCUAGCUAUUAUUACUAUUAUAUAAGCGUUAAACGAUACUUAUAUAACUCAUAAUAAUACCCCAAAGUACUUAUUAUAAGGUCCUAAUAACAUUACUAUAUUGAAACAUAAGCUAAACUAAAGAUAGGUUAGGCGUAGCUCACUUACAGCAGAUUUUUCUCAAAACCGGGCUUCACUGGAGCAGCGUUUCCUAGCCGAAAGGCUCUUUUCUCGGGACUCCGGGAGCCUCGGGGCUUCCUUCGGGUGCUAGGGGGUUUACCUAGACUUUAGGGGGGCUUAGGGAGCUUAGAGAGAGAAAGAAGGUUUGAGAGGUGUGAAGAAAAGGCAAGACACGGCACCUCUAUUUAUAGGGUGAAUUCCUGAUGCACUCGCCGAGUAGGAGGACCUACUCACCGAGUUGGGGCAUAUGGCAGCCUUUAGGUGGUGCCACGUGUCCAAUUCUGGUGGUGCCACGU
rnacentral:lncRNA from 1 species